rnacentral:rRNA from 1 species
UUGACCUCGAACAGGUAGGGUUACCCGCUGAACUUAAGCAUAUCAAUAAGCGGAGGA